UACGUAGGUGGCUAGCGUUGUCCGGAUUUACUGGGCGUAAAGAGCGUGCAGGCGGUCGUUCAAGUCGAGUGUGAAAGCCCCCGGCUCAACUGGGGAGGGUCACUCGAUACUGAUCGACUCGAAGGCAGGAGAGGGAAGUGGAAUUCCCGGUGUAGUGGUGAAAUGCGUAGAUAUCGGGAGGAACACCAGUGGCGAAGGCGACUUCCUGGCCUGUUCUUGACGCUGAGGCGCGAAAGCUAGGGGAGCAAACGGG
rnacentral:rRNA from 1 species